rnacentral:misc_RNA from 1 species
GAAAUAAAUGAAGCUUUAAGAAUAAAGUCCUCUUCCCAUUUGGCUGAUCUUUAUCAUGCUUGUUUUUAAGUUGUUAAUAAUAUGGAAGAUGUAAUUACAGAGACGAGAUCAAUGUCAACUAUGGUUUUGAAUGGGAAGACGAUCUAAUGUUUCAUUGGCGUAUACAUCGUAACAAGGAUAUUCUAUAUACAAGUAGGCCAUCAGAUCUCUUUAGCUCCGAAAAGGUAAUUCUUGAAUUUCAUCAUCUGGCAUCAAUCUUGAUAUGAAUUCCUGACCACUUGUACUGCAAAGCAAAUGCUCAAUGACCCAGUGCCUUCAUUGCAGAACAAGAAAGCCACACCAGGACCUGAAAUAUUUUGCUUUUCUCUCAUGUUUGGUUCAGUUUAUUUGGUAGCCCAAAUAGAAAAAGAAGCUUAAUCCCAAAUAACAGAUCAACAAUUAAUAUCAGCAGAUCGUUUAGAAAAAUAUAAAUCCUCUUCACGAUGUGUGAUUGAAUGUGUGCCUCCUUGAUCUUCCCCCGCAUUCUAUCAAACAAAUCAAAAAAAUUAAUGAAACAGCACCAAUUUAUUGAUUCAUUUCUAGUAGACUGGCUUACUAUUGCUGCAAGCUCGUCUGAUAAGCAAAACUAAGGCUUGAAAAAGGCAAGCUUUUCAUCUGCCAACACAUUCCAUACAAAAUACAUUAGAUGCAGCUACAAAAAGCUUUAAUGUGUCUAUGAAGUGCUUAC